AGAGUUUGAUCAUGGCUCAGAUUGAACGCUGGCGGCGUGCCUAACACAUGCAAGUCGAGCGGUAACAGGUGUAGCAAUACAUGCUGACGAGCGGCGGACGGGGUGAGUAACGCUUGGGAAUCUGCCUAUUAGUGGGGGGACAACCCGGGGAAACUCGGGCUAAUACCGCAUACGCACUACGGUGGAAAGCCGGGGACCGCAAGGCCUGGCGCUAAUAGAUGAGCCCAAGUCGGAUUAGCUAGUUGGUAGGGUAAUGGCCUACCAAGGCUACGAUCCGUAACUGGUCUGAGAGGACGACCAGUCACACCGGAACUGAGACACGGUCCGGACUCCUACGGGAGGCAGCAGUGGGGAAUAUUGGACAAUGGGCGAAAGCCUGAUCCAGCGACGCCGCGUGGGUGAAGAAGGCCUGCGGGUUGUAAAGCCCUUUCAGUGGGGAAGAAAAGCCUCGACCUAACACGUCGGGGUAUUGACGUAACCCAUAGAAGAAGUACCGGCUAACUCUGUGCCAGCAGCCGCGGUAAUACAGAGGGUGCGAGCGUUAAUCGGAAUUACUGGGCGUAAAGCGCGCGUAGGCGGCUUUGCAAGUCGGGUGUGAAAUCCCCAGGCUUAACCUGGGAACUGCAUUCGAGACUGCAUUGCUAGAGUAUGGGAGAGGGAAGUGGAAUUUCCGGUGUAGCGGUGAAAUGCGUAGAUAUCGGAAGGAACAUCAGUGGCGAAAGCGACUUCCUGGACCAAUACUGACGCUCAUGUGCGAAAGCGUGGGGAGCAAACAGGAUUAGAUACCCUAGUAGUCC
rnacentral:rRNA from 1 species